ACACUAUCAUUAACUGAAUCCAUAGGUUAAUGAGGCGAACCGGGGGAACUGAAACAUCUAAGUACCCCGAGGAAAAGAAAUCAACCGAGAUUCCCCCAGUAGCGGCGAGCGAACGGGGAGGAGCCCAGAGCCUGAAUCAGCAUGUGUGUUAGUGGAAGCGUCUGGAAAGGCGCGCGAUACAGGGUGACAGCCCCGUACACAAAAGCGCAUGUGCUGUGAGCUCGAUGAGUAGGGCGGGACACGUGGUAUCCUGUCUGAAUAUGGGGGGACCAUCCUCCAAGGCUAAAUACUCCUGACUGACCGAUAGUGAACCAGUACCGUGAGGGAAAGGCGAAAAGAACCCCGGCGAGGGGAGUGAAAAAGAACCUGAAACCGUGUACGUACAAGCAGUGGGAGCACCCUUUGGGUGUGACUGCGUACCUUUUGUAUAAUGGGUCAGCGACUUAUAUUCUGUAGCAAGGUUAACCGAAUAGGGGAGCCGGAGGGAAACCGAGUCUUAAC
rnacentral:rRNA from 1 species